rnacentral:rRNA from 1 species
AAUCAACGCUGGCGGCGUGCCUAACACAUGCAAGUCGCACGAGAAAGAGGGGGCAACCCCUUGAGUAAAGUGGCGUACGGGUGAGUAACACGUGACUAACCUACCUCCGAGUGGGGAAUAACUCCGGGAAACCGGGGCUAAUACCGCAUAACAUCUACGGAUCAAAGCAGUAAUGCGCUUGGAGAGGGGGUCGCGGCUGAUUAGCUAGUUGGUGAGGUAAUGGCUCACCAAGGCGACGAUCAGUAUCCGGCCUGAGAGGGCGCACGGACACACUGGAACUGAAACACGGUCCAGACUCCUACGGGAGGCAGCAGUGGGGAAUUUUGCGCAAUGGGGGAAACCCUGACGCAGCAACGCCGCGUGGAGGAUGAAGGUCUUUGGAUUUGUAAACUCCUUUCGAUCGGGACGAUUAUGGACGGUACCGGAAGAAGAAGCACCGGCUAACUCUGUGCCAGCAGCCGCCGUAAG